rnacentral:rRNA from 1 species
CCUCGGGAGGCAGCAGUGGGGAAUAUUGCACAAUGGGGCGAAAGCCCGAUGCAGCCAUACCGCGUGUGUGAAGAAGGCCUUCGGGUUGUAAAGCACUUUCGUUAGGGAAGAAAGGUGCGGAGUUAAUACCUCCGUACUGUGACGGUACCUAAAUAAGAAGCACCGGCUAACUCCGUGCCAGCAGCCGCGGUAAUACGGAGGGUGCAAGCGUUAAUCGGAAUCACUGGGCGUAAAGCGCGCGUAGGCGGUUUGGUCAGUCAGAUGUGAAAGCCCCGGGCUCAACCUGGGAACUGCAUUUGAUACUGCCAGACUAGAGCGUAGUAGAGGGAAGCGGAAUUCCGAGUGUAGCGGUGAAAUGCGUAGAUAUUCGGAGGAACAUCAGUGGCGAAGGCGGCUUCCUGGACUAACACUGACGCUGAGGUGCGAAAGCGUGNGGAGCAAACAGGAUUAGAUACCCUGGUAGUCCACG